AGAGUUUGAUCCUGGCUCAGGACGAACGCUGGCGGCGUGCCUAAUACAUGCAAGUCGAACGAAACUUUCUUACACCGAAUGCUUGCAUUCACCGUAAGAAGUUGAGUGGCGGACGGGUGAGUAACACGUGGGUAACCUGCCUAAAAGAAGGGGAUAACACUUGGAAACAGGUGCUAAUACCGUAUAUCUCUAAGGAUCGCAUGAUCCUUAGAUGAAAGAUGGUUCUGCUAUCGCUUUUAGAUGGACCCGCGGCGUAUUAACUAGUUGGUGGGGUAACGGCCUACCAAGGUGAUGAUACGUAGCCGAACUGAGAGGUUGAUCGGCCACAUUGGGACUGAGACACGGCCCAAACUCCUACGGGAGGCAGCAGUAGGGAAUCUUCCACAAUGGACGCAAGUCUGAUGGAGCAACGCCGCGUGAGUGAAGAAGGUCUUCGGAUCGUAAAACUCUGUUGUUAGAGAAGAACACGAGUGAGAGUAACUGUUCAUUCGAUGACGGUAUCUAACCAGCAAGUCACGGCUAACUACGUGCCAGCAGCCGCGGUAAUACGUAGGUGGCAAGCGUUGUCCGGAUUUAUUGGGCGUAAAGGGAACGCAGGCGGUCUUUUAAGUCUGAUGUGAAAGCCUUCGGCUUAACCGGAGUAGUGCAUUGGAAACUGGAAGACUUGAGUGCAGAAGAGGAGAGUGGAACUCCAUGUGUAGCGGUGAAAUGCGUAGAUAUAUGGAAGAACACCAGUGGCGAAAGCGGCUCUCUGGUCUGUAACUGACGCUGAGGUUCGAAAGCGUGGGUAGCAAACAGGAUUAGAUACCCUGGUAGUCCACGCCGUAAACGAUGAAUGCUAGGUGUUGGAGGGUUUCCGCCCUUCAGUGCCGCAGCUAACGCAAUAAGCAUUCCGCCUGGGGAGUACGACCGCAAGGUUGAAACUCAAAGGAAUUGACGGGGGCCC
rnacentral:rRNA from 2 species